rnacentral:rRNA from 1 species
AGAGUUUGAUCCUGGCUCAGAACGAACGUUGGCGGCGUGGAUUAGGCAUGCAAGUCGAACGAGAACCUGGGGGCAACCCUGGGGGAAAGUGGCGAAAGGGGCAGUAAUGCGUGGGUAACCUACCUCCGGGACGGGGAUAGCCAUCCUAACGGGUGGGUAAUACCCGGCGACGUAACCAGAGCGCAUGCUUGGGUUACGAAACGAUUCAUCGCCUGGAGAGGGGCUCACGUGAUAUUAGCUGGUUGGUGAGGUAACGGCUCACCAAGGCAAAGAUGUCUAGCGGGUGUGAGAGCACGACCCGCGCCACUGGCACUGAGACACUGGCCAGACUCCUACGGGAGGCUGCAGUCGAGGAUCUUCGGCAAUGGGCGCAAGCCUGACCGAGCGACGCCGCGUGCGCGAUGAAGGCCUUCGGGUUGUAAAGCGCUGUCGAGGGGGAGGAAGGCCGUUAAAUCGGCUUGACCUAUCCCUGGAGGAAGCACGGGCUAAGUUCGUGCCAGCCGCCGCGGUAAUAC